rnacentral:lncRNA from 1 species
CAUAGAAUAAAGUUGAUUCAUAUUUUUUUUUUUUGUAUAUAUCAUGAAAAAGAAAAGAUAUUCCAAAUAGAUAACCAUGGUUUGCAUUUAUUUAUUUUUAAAUUUUCUCUUUCUAUUUUAGAUUGUAACAACAUAAUUAUCUCAUAUCCACGGAUGGAUUCAGCAGAAGUGCAAGGGGGCAAUCGAACUCGCAAAAAUUCAAACAAAACUCUUAUAUUAUACUAAUAAUUUAAAAAUAGUCUUAAAAUUAGGAUUUGCAUCUGCAAAUUAUGGCGGUUUGCACUCUUAUUACUAGGUCAUAUAUGAUUUUGCACUCUCAAAAUUAAAAUAUUGAAUUCAUUCAUGCUUAUAUAGCUUUUAUUUAGAAUUAAAAGAACUUGAGGUGGUUUAUAUUGACGUAAUUUGAUUGGCAUGAAAGAAAUAAACGAAGAAUUAAAAAAUUAUGGGUUGAGUUAAUGAGAUUCUACACACAAGAUACUUUACAUAAAGGGAUAAUAAGACGGACGAAGUUGAUAUGCAUGUGUCUGCGACAUUUUUCAUUUAAAUGAAUUAAGAAUAAUACUAGGAAAAAGUGAUCUGAGUAGUCUCAAUGUCCCUUUAGGCCUCGUUUGUUUGCCGGACUGGACAGAAGGCUUCGGACUGGACAAAGGAGGCUCCGGACUUGACAAGGAGGCCUCCGGAUAUCAUGUCGGACUAAAUCUCUCAUUUAAUCCGUUGUUUUGGCUCCGGACAACUCUGGAUAAUGAUAAUCCCGUCCUUGUCUAUGUGCGUUUGCUAAGGGCAAUCGGACCGGACAAAAGAAGGCGAAAUGACCAACAUACCCCUUCACUUUAUCAGUUUUAUUUAUUUUUGGAUAAACAAUGUUUCUUUUUAAAAAUUAAACCGUUUUUCUGAAAAAAUAUUUUUUAAAAUUUUAAUAAAAAAUAUAUCAAAUAUAUAGAAUUGUAUUUAAAACAAUUUCUAAAAAAUAUACUAGUUUUUCUUUUAUAGUAUUUAUUUAUAUUUUUUACUAUAUUAAAUAAUAUUUUUUAAUAUUAGUCAUAUUUUUUUUUAACUCAUUUUCAUAAAAUUUAAACUUUUUUUUUAUUUCUCUUAACGAGAUAGACUGAAUAUAAUUUUUUUUAUUUAUUUUCGAAAAUAAUUUAAAAAUAUUAGUUUGAAAAAAAAUAUUAUUUUUGAACAAAUAACUUAAUUUUUAUAUAAAAUAAAAUAUUAUAAUUUUCUAAAAUUGUUCUCAAUAAAAUCUUCUUUCAAAAUUAUUUUUUAAUAUUUUUUUUGAUUAAAUAUUUUUUAAAAAAAAUAUUUUUUUAGAAAAACGGUUUUAUUUUUUUUAAAAAAAAAUUAUUUUCCAAAAAUUGAUAAAAAAAUUAAUUUAAUAAAAAAAUAAAACAAUUUAUUAACAAAACUAAUAAAAAAAGAAAAGAAAAAAAAAUGAAAGAUGAGGAUAGAGGGAGAGGAGAGAGAGGGAGAGAGCGAGGGGGAGAGGGAGGGAAAUUCUUUAAUGUGUAGGGCAAAUUAGUAAAUGCCAGUAAAUUAGUCCGAAUGUGGCUUAGUCCGGGGAUAGCUGUCCCAGGGGUGGGGGUGGGACAGCUUAGUCCGUAUAGCCGGACUUUAUUCCGACCGGACUAUAUCCGGAACCAUUUUUCACAACAGAAACGCCGGAUGGACUGGACUCUUUGUCCAGUCCGACCUAGUCCGGCUUGUCCCGCCAACAAACCCCCUUAGGGCUCCGAUUUUACGUAGGCAUACCAGGGGACUCAUACAGCAUAUGUUCUAGAGAAUUGGAGCAUCUCCAAAAAUACUAAUAAUUUACUCCAAAUUUAGACUAUAGAACGAGUUGACUAAAAAAAUCAAUUGUUCAAGGACUUUUUCCAUCACAGUCUUAAGACCACUGGAGAAUCCAGGAGUCAGCAUGGGCUGCGAGGCCCCCUGUCUUUUCAAGAAAUUUAAAUUUUUUUUUGAAAUAUGUUUUUUACACUUUAACCUUCCUAAAAUAUAUUAAUUUUUUUUUUAUACUUUGCCCCCUGAACUAAAAUUCUGGUUCCGCCACUGCUUAAAACCUACAACGGUACACAAAAUUGUGUUGGUUAUGAUGUUCAAGAAACAAGUGUCGGAUAUUAGUCAAUCAAUAAUGUUUUAGACACUAAAAAAAUUAUUAAAAAUUUACUGUAUAUAUACAUGAUAGAACCGCAUGUAUUAAUGCCCUACUUUAUAUAUUUUUUUUAUUUUAUCUACAAUAUAAAUAUGGGAUGCUAUGUGCAUAUUUAAUAAAAAAAUUAUAAAAAAUUUAGUGUCUAUAACAUUAUUGGUGGUCAAUUUUUUGCAAAUUAAUUAUUGUCAUCAAUACUAGCUACCUAAUUGUGAAAGAUGAAGUUAAUAUAGCAAACAGGUUCUAAUAAAAUUAAGUACUAUAGAUGGUACCAUAUGAACAGAGAGUCGUGACUAUAAGGUCCCGUUUGGCUAAAGGAUAUGGAAGGGGGAUACUUUUUAGAGGGUAGGAUAAAUUUUUAAGGGUAUAACGUUUGUAGGGAGAUAACUUUUCACUUUGUUUGAUAUCUUUUUAUCGAAUGGGUUGGAUAAGGUGGAGGAUAAGGAAGAUAAUAUAGAGAUAGAACAACUAAAAAUAUUUAGAUAUUAAAAUAGAUUUUUAUUUUAUAUAUAUAUAUAUAUUAAAUUAUCAUUUUAUUUCUCUUUAUUAUUUUUUUUCUUAUCCCCCACCCCCUUUCCCCCGGAUAACUUUUAGUUAGGAUCUAGGCCACCCAAAAAUUAUCCACCUCUCUCCACCUAACUUCCAUAAUUAUCCGGGGGCAUAAAUAAUCCGCCCCCAUAUCCGGUAGGCCAACCGACCGUGGCCAAAAAUUAUCCGGGGGAAAAAUUAUCCCCCCCUAAUCCGGUAGCCAAACGGCCCCUAAGUCCGUGUGCUCAGUACGUGCAAUGCCCCCCAAGAUUUGUAAAUGAGGAUUCAAAAAUAUGUUUUUUGCAAUAAUUAAUCCCACCCCCCGGGUCAGAAGGGGGUGUGGGGAUGGGAAGAUUUUGAGAGCCAGCCUAAAUGGCCCCCGUCUCUCUCUCCGCACUUUUCUCCCUCUGCUCUCUCUCUCUCGCAUACCAGCCUCUCCUCUCUCUCCUGCAUCUUUUUAUUAUUAUUUUUAAUAUAUUUUUAUUAUUAAAUUUAUUAUUUCUUUAUAUUUUGAUUUUUGUAUAAAUAUUUUAAUCUUUUGUUAGUUUUUUAUAAUUUCCCAAAAAAAAUGAUCAAAAUUUUAUUUUUUUUACGUUCACAUUCUGAAUUUUAUAUAAUCUUUUAACAUAUAUAAUUUAUGAUUAAAAUUUAAACACUUAAAAUUUUUUUAGUAUUUUGAUUUGUCAUAAAAAGACCUAAUAAAAAGAAUAACUUUAAGCAUAAUCAAUGCCACAGUAAAUGCACAUUACUAAGACAUUUUUUAAUUUAUCUCCUCCAAACUCUCCCUAGAGGUACUCGUUCCUCCACCGCAUUAUUUCUGACUACAAUUCAUUCGUACUAUAUAACUCUCAACCCAUCCCCUACUUCGAUUGAUACAUGUGUUGGCGCCACCACCAUGAGGUUGGUGGACAGAGCAUGAGUGCUAGAAAAACUUGAACGAAUUGAUUUCGCCUCAAAUACGAGUAAUGGCUAUUUCUCGGCGAUUCUUGUUAAUUUUUUGUUAGUUUUUUAUAAUUUACAAAAAAAAUAUUUUUUAUCUUUCGCAUUUUUAUCUAAAAUAUUUUUUAGGAUCAAAUUUUAAUAAAAAAUUUUCUACCACCUCUAAAAUUUUUAUCCGCAAAAUAUUUUUAUGAUCCAUAUUCUUUUCUUUUAUAAAAACAUAAUAGGAGUAUAGAAAUUAUAAAAUUUGAUCAUAAUUUUUUUAAUAAUAGCCAUUUCAACCUUUAUUCUUUUUUUUUCCUUUUAAUACCCCUUGAUUCUAUUUUUUUUUCUUUUGACUUUCACGUCUGGAUUUUAUAUAAAAAAAAUUAUGAUAGAUUUUAUAAUUUUUUUUAAUCCCUCCUUAUGUUUUUAUCUAAAAAAUAUGGAUCAAAAAAUAGUUCUUCUACUCCGGCUAUCGAAAUUUAUAAAAAAAAUAUUAAAAAUUUUAAUUCAUAUUUUUUUUAAAAAAAAUUAAAGAAAAAAAGGUGGGGGGGGAACACAUGGGAAUUUAUUUAUUAAAUUUUUAAAACACAUAAGAAUUUAUUUAUUAAUUUUUUUUAAUACCUCUCUCCUUUGAAUUUAUUAAAAAAAAAUUUAACACUUAAUAUUUGUUAGGUAUUUGAUUUAAGGUAUGAGUAAAAAAAAAAUUUAAAAUUUAUCAUAAUUUUCUUGAAUGUUAGAUUUUACUACUCAUUGAUAUGCUAAAACUUAUGUAUUUUUCUUUCGGUUUUUUCUUAAUUAAAAUACUAACAAUUUAAGUGUUUAAAGUUUUUUUUUAAAAAAAGAAAAAGAGAUGGUAUUAAAAAAAAUAAUAAAUAAAUUCUUAUGUGUUAAAAAAUUAAAUAAACAAACAAAAAAAUUCGAAAGCGAAAGUUAAAAAAUAUAAAAAUUUAACUAUUUUGUUUUUAAUGACUAACUAAGAUAUGUAUUUAAAAAAAAUUAAUGGGUAAGAGAGAGAGAAGGGUGGGUGAUGUGUGCAUAAGGAAGUUUGGGGGGCCCACCUGGGGAAAGAGGAAGAGAGAGAGCGUGAAGGAGUAAGAGUAGAGAGGGGUGGGGGAUUAAUUGGUAUUUCACAUGAAAAACAAGGAUUUGGGACCCGCCAGGGGUGUGUCAGGGGUGUGUGAUUAAUGGCUCUCAUAUGUUUUAGAUGGGGUGGAAUAGUGGUUGAAUGAAAAAUUAAGAAUGAUUGGAUCUGCAAGUGCAUAUUAAUUAUAUUUCUUUUGUAAAAUGGAAGGAAAAUAUAAUUUUAAAAAUAAAUUGUAACAUAAAGUGAUUCGAUUAGAUGAUUAUCAAUAUCCGAUCAAUUUGAAUUUUUUUGUGAUUACUCUACCCGAUAAUCUUU